rnacentral:rRNA from 1 species
UACGUAGGAGGCAAGCGUUGUCCGGAAUUACUGGGCGUAAAGCGCGUGUAGGUGGUGGGACAAGUCUGCUGUGAAAGCGCCUGGCUUAACCGGGCGAGGUCGGCGGAAACUGUCCGACUAGAGGACGGUAGAGGAGAGUGGAAUUCCUGGUGUAGCGGUGAAAUGCGCAGAUAUCAGGAAGAACACCCGUGGCGAAGGCGGCUCUCUAGUACGGUACUGACGCUGAGACGCGAAAGCGUGGGGAGCGAACAGG